UUUUUCUCGUUAUUGCUUGUGACACAGCACACACAAAAUGGCCAAGUCUAUAACGAGAAAAAUGCUAUUUCCCACCGAAACAAAUUCCAUGAUCAAGUAACAUACGUUAACUAUGUCUAUAACGAAUUGGUUUAUAUAUUAAAAAAUAAUUUGCCUAUUAAAUAUUUGUAAAUGAAAAUGUGCAAAAACACUUGUGGUGAAGCGUAAAAGAAAAAUAAGAAAGAAUAACGGAGAACUAGAAGGCCUACACGUCACAUUAUGUGGGAUCCUACAUCACUUCCUUUUCCAACGACUUGUGAAGCGCGUCACCGUCUGUAUUUUGUCCCCCUCCCUCUGCUUUUUUUUCUCUCAUCAAAAUGACAAAAUCAAAUGUGAACAACUAAUUUAUUUAUUUUGCUAAAUUAUAAAUAUCAUUAAUGAAUGAAAGUUUGGUUACAACAAAGUUAAACCAGAUUCUGUUCGAAAGCUGAUUUGUUCUUAGAAGCCGCAAAAAAAUUAAAAAACUCCUAAGAAACAUGAAGAAUUAAACCAAGAUAGACCACAUAUGUCAAUCUUGAUGUUAAUUAAAUUCAGAACAGAAGACAACACAAUACCCUA
rnacentral:lncRNA from 1 species